rnacentral:lncRNA from 1 species
AGGAACAUAAACUUUCCCAAGUUCGUGGUGAACUGCUCCAGAGUUGCGAGCAACACAGCACCCAUAAUAGAUCAAUUUUCCUGUUUUGCUGGAGCUAGCUUCCUGCCUGUUCUUCACUCAAACGUGUUUUGAUCGGAUCCUUCAGCGCUAGUAAAAACUUUGGCCAUUUGCAGCUUCCAAGAAUCAUCACGCUGGAAAAUCUCAUUAGUAGCAAUGACACUGAAUAUGUACACUAAAAAGUUUACCUCUUGAUAGUCGUACACUACAAUUCGCGUCG